CAUGGCUCAGAUUGAACGCUGGCGGUAUGCUUAACACAUGCAAGUCGAACGGUAGCAGGCCUUCGGGCGCUGACGAGUGGCGGACGGGUGAGUAACGCGUAGGAAUCUGCCUCAUAGUGGGGGACAACGUGGGGAAACUCACGCUAAUACCGCAUACGCCCUACGGGGGAAAGCGGGGGAUCUUCGGACCUCGCGCUAUGAGAUGAGCCUGCGUUAGAUUAGCUAGUUGGUAGGGUAAAGGCCUACCAAGGCGACGAUCUAUAGCUGGUCUGAGAGGACGAUCAGCCACACUGGGACUGAGACACGGCCCAGACUCCUACGGGAGGCAGCAGUGGGGAAUAUUGGACAAUGGGCGCAAGCCUGAUCCAGCAAUACCGCGUGUGUGAAGAAGGCCUUAGGGUUGUAAAGCACUUUCAAUUGGGAGGAAAACCUGUCGGUCAAUACCGGCAGCUUGACAUUACCUUAGAAGAAGCACCGGCUAACUCCGU
rnacentral:rRNA from 1 species